GCACGGGUGAGUAACGCGUACGGAAUCUGCCUUUGAGCGGGGAAUAGCCCUGGGAAACUGGGAGUAAUACCCCAUAGUUCUGUUAGAUUGCAUGGUCUGGCAGAUAAAGCUGAGGCGCUCAAAGAUGAUCGUGCGUCUGAUUAGGUAGUUGGUAAGGUAACGGCUUACCAAGCCGACGAUCAGUAAGGGGCGUGAGAGCGUGGCCCCCACACGGGUACUGAGACACGGGCCCGACUCCUACGGGAGGCAGCAGUAAGGAAUAUUGGACAAUGGGCGGAAGCCUGAUCCAGCCAUCCCGCGUGCUUGAUGAANGGCCCUCUGGGUUGUAAAGACGCUUUAGUCUGGGAAGAACACCUUGUUUCUGCGGGAGCAACUGACGGUACCAGAAGAAUAAGCACCGGCUAACUCCGUGACCGGCAGCCGAGGUAAUACGAGAGGGUGCAAAGACGUAAUACCGGAUUCACUCUGGGUUUAAAGGGUCCGUAGGCGGAUCUAGUACGUCAGUGGUGACAUCUCACAGUUNACCUUGUGACAACUGGCCCAUUNGACUACUAUGCCAAGGUCUUAGAAAGUCGUCACGUUCGACAGCUCACCUCGGAA
rnacentral:rRNA from 1 species